GAUGAACGCUAGCGGCAGGCUUAAUACAUGCAAGUCGAGGGACAGCACAGGUAGCAAUACUGGGUGGUAACCGGCAAACGGGUGCGGAACACGUACACAACCUUCCUUUAAGUGGGGGAUAGCCCAGAGAAAUUUGGAUUAAUACCCCGUAAUAUAGUUGAAUGGCAUCAUUUGAUUAUUAUAGCUACGGCGCUUAAUGAUGGGUGUGCGGCUGAUUAGAUAGUUGGCGGGGUAACGGCCCACCAAGUCUACGAUCAGUAGCUGAUGUGAGAGCAUGAUCAGCCACACGGGCACUGAGACACGGGACCGACUCCUACGGGAGGCAGCAGUAAGGAAUAUUGGUCAAUGAACGCAAGUCUGAACCAGCCAUGCCGCGUGAAGGAUUAAGGUCCUCUGGAUUGUAAACUUCUUUUAUUUGGGACGAAAAAGGGCCUUUCUAGGUCAACUGACGGUACCGGAUGAAUAAGCACCGGCUAACUCCGUGCCAGCCGCCGCGGUAACAC
rnacentral:rRNA from 1 species